rnacentral:rRNA from 1 species
AUUGAACGCUGGCGGCAGGCUUAACACAUGCAAGUCGAGCGGGGUGAUGGUGCUUGCACUAUCACUUAGCGGCGGACGGGUGAGUAAUGCUUAGAAAUCUGCCUAUUAGUGGGGGACAACAUCUCGAAAGGGAUGCUAAUACCGCAUACGUCCUACGGGAGAAAGCAGGGGAUCACUUGUGACCUUGCGCUAAUAGAUGAGCCUAAGUCGGAUUAGCUAGUUGGUGGGGUAAAGGCCUACCAAGGCGACGAUCUAUAGCGGGUCUGAGAGGAUGAUCCGCCACACUGGGACUGAGACACGGCCCAGACUCCUACGGGAGGCAGCAGUGGGGAAUAUUGGACAAUGGGGGGAACCCUGAUCCAGCCAUGCCGCGUGUGUGAAGAAGGCCUUAUGGUUGUAAAGCACUUUAAGCGAGGAGGAGGCUCUUUUGGUUAAUACCCAAGAUGAGUGAACGUUACUCGCAGAAUAAGCACCGGCUAACUCUGUGCCAGCAGCCGCCGUAA